rnacentral:rRNA from 1 species
AAGACCUUGCACCUUUGGAGCGGCCGAUGUCUGAUUAGCUAGUUGGUGGGGUAAUGGCCUACCAAAGCUUCGAUCAGUAGCUGGUCUGAGAGGACGACCAGCCACACUGGGACUGAGACACGGCCCAGACUCCUACGGGAGGCAGCAGUGGGGAAUUUUGGACAAUGGGGGCAACCCUGAUCCAGCCAUGCCGCGUGAGUGAAGAAGGCCUUCGGGUUGUAAAGCUCUUUCAGCCGGAACGAAACGGUUACGGUUAAUACCCGUGACUACUGACGGUACCGGAAGAAGAAGCACCGGCUAACUACGUGCCAGCAGCCGCGGUAAUACGUAGGGUGCAAGCGUUAAUCGGAAUUACUGGGCGUAAAGCGUGCGCAGGUGGUUUUGUAAGUCAGAUGUGAAAUCCCCGGGCUUAACCUGGGAACU